UAGCGUCCGCUAUGUAAACGGGCCUUGUUGUGAAUCCAAACAAAAUCAGUCAGUCGUAAUUUUGUUGCCGUAAGAGCAACGCGUCGAGGAUUUCGCGCUCGCGCUCGGAGCAUGUUGGUUCAGUGAACGUGGACAGGCACCAUGCACGCGUUGUUCGGCGAACAGAGCCCGUAUGCGUACCGCGGAGGAGCCGCCGGCGGCUACUCGGCCGGGGUCACCCCCUAUGCCUACGAGCAGUACCGGUACGGCUACGGCGCGCCCUACCUCCACCCGCAUCAACAGCACGUCGGUGCGCCCAAGGAUAUGGUCAAACCGCCCUACUCCUAUAUAGCGCUUAUAGCCAUGGCCAUACAGAAUGCGCCUGAUAGGAGAAUAACUCUUAAUGGCAUUUAUCAGUUCAUAAUGGAACGUUUCCCAUACUAUAGAGAGAAUAAACAAGGCUGGCAAAAUUCAAUCAGACACAAUUUAAGCCUAAACGAGUGCUUCGUGAAAGUGGCGCGGGACGAUAAAAAACCCGGUAAAGGAAGUUAUUGGACGCUCGACCCAGACUCAUAUAAUAUGUUUGACAAUGGCUCUUAUCUGCGGCGACGGCGUCGGUUUAAAAAGAAAGACGCGCUGAAAGAAAAAGAGGAGGCACUAAAAAGACAACAACAGUUGCAACAAGCUCAGGAGGCGUUGGCGGCGCAAGAAGCACUCAGUGCUGCCGACGCCCUCGGGCAGCCACGCGAUGUGAAGCCCGACGUCAAACCUAGAAUAUUUGAGUGUCGACCGAAAAGAGAACCCGGAGCUGAUUGUGCGCGAUACGACAAACCCGUCGAUACAUUAGAAGAAUUUAGUGAUCGGCUGCCUCCUUCAGCGGUCUACUGCUCACCGCAGCCGUAUUCUCUUGCGGCAGAAGAGUUUCGCGCGGCGACCACUGGGUGGUACGCGGCGCCCGAGCCUCCUGCGGAACAGUUGCCGCCGGCAUUCCGGGACCUGUUCGAACCACCUAGUUGUCAGUUAGCCGGCUUCCGGGGAAGUUCCCCCGGCCCGGACGCAUACCGAGCCUCCCCACCGCCUCAUCACCACUAUCGCUCACCAGCGCCAUCUUACUAUCAUCACCAGGCGUGCGUUGCAGCAGCGCCGGCACCCGCUCAUAAGUCUUACUGAGACAUCGCCUUCAGGAGGCCGGCAUCAUACGGCGCCGAACGGAUUUAGCCGCCGCGUCAGUUCCAGCGUGGAUAAAUAUAGCGCAGUAGCCGGCGAUGCCGCGGAGGCAAGUGGUGGCGCGUCGAUAACCACUGUUUACAGAUCGGCGGUCGACUCUGCCGCCUCCCGCGCCGUUAACACCUAUAGAAUUUCAAGAAGUGGGCCCUCAGACCACACGCACAUCUUUAUCCACCCAUAAGGGUGAUGGCUGAUGAUGAUCAAAUUUAUAUGUUUGACGGGAUAAAGAUAAAGCGGGGGGCGGACCGCGAACAGAGUCUGGAAUACCACGAGUUUCACUAAGAGACAGGUAAACCUACUGCGUAGGUACGUUGAACUGACUUGUGGACACCUUCCAAAGAACAUUCACGUAACACUAUCUAAUCUCUAUAUGGCGAUGCUUCAUAGUGCCCGAAGACUUUUUAUUAGCAUGUAAAUUCGUUCAAAGUGGACCUGUAGAUAAGAAUUAUAAUGCCAUGUCCUCUGACGUUAUGGUACCAGCGAAUUUAGAUAGUAUUGUAAAUUCAGUGGAAUAUUAUGAUAAUGUAAAUAUAAUUAUCUAGUUAAAUAUAAAAUGUUGGUUUUUGCUGAGCUUCAUCUAAACAUAUCCAGAAUUCGAUCGGAGGUUACUAAAUAGCUAUGUUAUUUGUCACAUUGUCUUUUUAGGAAGAAACUAGGAAAAUAUUGGUAGUAAAUCUGUGUGGAACGAAUAGUUUACGACAUACAUUUUUAAGCAAAUUAUCAAGAUAACUGUUCUCCAUGGGUAAGUCCCUCCAUAUAUUAGAUAUCCAUUUAGUUGAAGCUCAGCUGACCGACAUAUAUCGGCAUAGUGUGUGCGUUAGUGGAUUCCGUUGUUUGUCACUACUGUGCACUGGACAACCUCGAUAGAUUGUCAAUCAUAAUGAACUCGAUAUUCUAGUCUCCUAUUGUAUUAUUACAUGAAAUAUAUACGAGCCUACAUAUGAUAGCUAUUGAUAUAUUGCCGCGCGAAUUAACUUAUUAUCUACCUUCGUAAUAAUCAAUUUUCAAUACUUCAGAUUAGGACCAAUGACAGAUUAAUGUGAAUUCUUAUAUUUAGAAACUUGUUUGAUAUCGUUUCUAAGAAAUCAUGAAAAUGUACUUCUAACAAUAACAUCGCUGUGUGAGUCUCAUGACGAUUUAAACAGGUACUUAUCUAGAUAGGUAAUAUAAUAUUAUUUGGUAGUCCGUAUGCACUAAACAAUCGAAUUCUGAAUUUGUUGAUUGGUUCUUAAGUAAAUAAAAAUUAGAUAAAAAAAUGUCAUUCCAAAGUCAUACUUCUACCUACUUAUUCAAACUAAUUAUGUACCUCUAUUUGUUUAAAUGAAAGUUGUAACAUGUACCUGGUCGAAUUUCCGAGCGUUAUGGCCGCUGCGGCCGCGCGUCUUUGACAAUUUUUAAAAUUUUAAUAAAAAUAAGAAUCACUUUUACUAUCUGACUUUAAAAUCUUUAUAUUUAUGAAUGAUUGAUUUUGGAAAUGAUUACCUUCCUCAAGAAUAUUGACGGAUCAUAAUGACGGUGCGGCGGCAGCGGUCGAAACGCUCGGAUAUUCACCCACCUAUUAGUGAAUAAUAGGUAAUAUUAAAUGUACGUUUUAAUCACACUAUUAUUAAGCACGUUAGACUAAAUUAUUGGACUAGCUAGUAGUGUUUGUGAGUUAUGGGAUAUUAACACUUUGAUAUAAAGUUGUUAUAAAUAGUCAUAGUCACAUGAUAUUAUUAAAAUUAUUACAAAUUGUAACAAUGUCCCAAAUGAGGUAUUAAUAGCGAUCAAUGUGUAUUAUAGACAUAUAUAUAUAUAUAUAUUUCGCAUAUUUUUUAUUUAUAAUAAGAUUAAAUUUAUAUUUCAUUUCUCUUCAUACAUUUUAGCUUUUAACGCACAUACUUUGAUGUUAAAUGCUUUAGAUACAUCAAUUUUUUAAUGUAAAACGUAGUAAUAAGAUAAAACAGACUAAUGCUGUGUAAGAACAUUAGUUGCUACUAAAAACCAGUGGAAACUUUUGCAUUACGAAGAGAAAUAACAGUUGAUUAUUUUUAAUAAUCAUUACAUUCACGAGUCACGAAGAGAGAUUGCUCGUUGAAGGACACGGAGAUUCUCAAUGUUUUUUAAAUCACAAUAAUUGUAAGCAAAAAUAUAGCUGCGCUUGCCAAUCAUAAAUAUAUUAUGACAUUAAAAAAAAUUAAAUAAAUAUACACCCUACCUUGAGAGAUCUUUAUCUCUCAACUUGAUAAAUCUGAUGCAGUCAAAUUAUGAGUACUUAGGCAUCACGUCAUUUUAAAAUCAAUAAACUAAAUAAAUAUUUAUUCAUUAAAACUCUUUCGAAUGCAGAAUCAUUGUUUCAUUGAAAUAAAAUUAUUUUCUAAUUACAAUCUGAAUGUUCAUUUAACAUUUAUAUGAUUAGUUCGUGAUGUUUGUUAACUUCACAUUUAUACAUAAAUAGUUUCCAGUCCUAUUAUAUAAUCCUUCAAACUGAAGUAACCCAACACUUUAUCGGAUUUAUUAAAAUGUGUAGAUAAUUUUCCAAGUUUUUUUUUAUAUUCCUUAUAUUCAUUAUAAGUAAACUUAAAAAAAACUAAUGAAAUAAAUAUUAUUAUUACAAAAUAUGAUUUAAUUGGGAAAUUGACAAUCGUCCGAUUGUUUUCGGAAGCGGAAAGAUUUUCAUUCGAAUAAACUUUAUACUAAAUGAAUCUAAAUCGAAAAAAAUAAUCGAUAAGGCAUGACUAACAUACAAAUAUAAAUACAACGUACUUACCAACAACUUUUCAUUUAAACAUUUCUCGGCAAAAUGUUAAUAUUUGUAAUUUUUUUGAUGACUUGUUAGCUAAUAACUUUGUGAUAAUUAUCGUAAUUGUGUGUAUAUAAAUGUAUUUAAACAAUAAAUGUUUAUUUGUAUCUAGCAU